GCCCAGGCUCCAUCCAUCCAUCCAACAUAUAUUUCCUGAGCAUCUAUUUUUGCCAGACACCAUGUUCGGUGCUGAGGAGAGAGUGAAGAACAAGACAGAAGGUCCCUGCCUUCAUGGAGCAAAUCUUCUGAGCCUUCCUGGAUUAUCCAAACAGAGCUCCUCAGGAGACUUGACACCAUCAAGUGACCCAAGACCCCACUCCAGUGGUGUCAGGGCUGGGGGAUGGUAAACAGUGGCUCCAUGGCUUGAUCCUGGACCGAGUGCCAAGCGAGCAGACGUGCUGAGAAAGGACUGAUGAUCAGAGACAGGGGAAGUCACAGAACCCCCCCCCCCCGCUGUCUCCUGCAUUAUAACCCCCCUAAAGUCGGCGGUGUGAAACAACAAUUCUGUGCUGCUCAGGGCACCAGGGGGUGGGUGGUGUCCGACCCUCAGCUGGACUCGUCCAGAGGCUCCUCCCCUUCCCCGUCCAGACCCGGGUGGGGAGGACCCCAGGGCGGGUGAGCAGGGCUGUGGGCUGCAGCCCGACACAGCCUCUGCAGCGGGGUGGACGGGCUCCAAGGCAAGCGUCCCCAGAGCUGCACGACCCUUUCUGACAGUGUUAGAAGUCACAUGGCAUCACUUCCGCCUCACUCUGUUGGCCAAAGCAACCUGCCCAGUUUUAAGGGGAUGAAACGUGGGCCCUGCCCCACAAUGAGAGGAAUGACGGGGAACUAGCAGCCAGUCCUUAAAGCCUGUGCAUCUUCUGCAGUUUAUCUUGGGCGGCGACCACUCACAGAGCCACCGACCGCCUUCCCAGUCCCGGGAAGCAGCUGACCUCACAACAGCUCACUUGUCUCAGCCUGUUUCCUCCUUCCCGGACCGUCUCUUCACACCCAACCCUCUCACCUCACCCACAAACAAUCAAAAACUUGAGCACGAGCUGACCACGCAGCCCCUUCUGUUCAGCAACCCACCCCCAGCGCUCACACAGGCUCCUCUGUCUGUGUGGCUCCCUGUUGCCUAUGACAGUGUUCCUAUUAAACUUUCCUUUGUCUCUUAAAUUUUUCUUUG